rnacentral:lncRNA from 1 species
GAGAGAAAGGAUCCCCCACUGUGUUCUACUCUAGUCUCUAGCUACAAGACUCUUAAAUAGCAGCUCUCUGCAUAAUAUAAAAUCUGACCUAUACUAUACUACUCUUACUCUAACCUAUUGCUAUAAGACAGCUCGCUCCUCUUGAUCAAUCAUCAUGCAUCUGCUAUUCCCUUUAUAGCAUUCUUAGCUGUUUUUAUUUUGAAUUCAAUUUCUUCCUUUUCUUCCAAACUCUGCAUGUUAAAUCCUUUCCUUUUAAAUUCACUGUUUCACAAGAUGGGUUAUGUCUUUAUGAUUCCUCCUUUACUAUAGUAUCUACCUCCUUUAUUACAUAUGUCCCAUUCUUUCUUUCUUUGCUUCUAUAUAUAUAUAUAUUCUCCAAAUCUAGAUUCUUUAUCAUAGUUUGUAGUAAUAUUCUUGUUUUCUUCUUUGGUUUUUCCUUUCCAUUCCAUUGGAUUCUUCGCCUUCCUAGUUCUUUCUAUGCUUACAAAUAGUGUUAAAAUGAAAGCACAUGACUUUCUUGCACCUUCUCUUUUUUCUUUCUCCUUUGAGUUAGGUUUAGAUACCUGAAUCUAUUCUCUUUUUCAUUCUUUGUGCUACAAUAGGUAUUUAUUUUCUACUUCUUUUGACACACAAAAAAAAAACCAUAUAAACCUAGAGAGAGUGAAGUUGAUGCAUAACUAUUGCUGGAGAUGAAGAUGAAAGUU